AGGGUGUGAGAGGGGGGGGCAGAAAUGGAGGGAGGAAGGAUGAACAAGUGCAGACAUGGUACUCGGGAGACACUCCGUGGAAAGUGAACUAUGCAACUUGUGAGCAGGGAAGGGAGGGGAUACAUGGGGGAAAGUGAAGGAAGGGUGACACUGUCCAAAAAGAAAUGCCCUCAUUACCUGACUUAUGAAAUGGUAACCCCUCUGUACACCUUAAUAAUAAUAAAAUUAUACUUUAAAAAAACAACUUAGGCCCCAGACCAGGCUGAGGCCUCUGGGUCUGGCUCCAAGUACCCAAUGCUGUGAGAACUGCUGCCCACUCCGACUGGAUCGCUACUUCUUGCCCCAAACCUUCUUCUCUUCUCCCUGGCCCUGGCUCCAGGCCCAGGAUGUUAUUUUGUGCUGACCAGGGAAAACAGAUCUCCCCGUCUCAAUGCUGCCUUUAUCUCCACGUUCCUCCCAGAAUGGCAACUGGCCGCCCCCACCACAAGUGGCUAAGAAUUCUCUAAGCCCAAAAUAUUCUUGUUGCUUCCCUGCGAACAAAAGGAAGGAAAGCUCUUGAGUCAAAGCCCCCCAAAGCCUACAGAGCUCUUUUGUGAGCCCCCAGGCAGACUCUCCACUUCUUCCUAAUCUGAAGGCAGCAUUCCUCAAGGAAGUUUCCAGUCUGCUAUUUGGUAUAAUCUUGACUAUGAAGUACUAAAAAUGUCUUCAGCGUUCCAUGAAAGAGACGUUCAGUGCUCAGGAUCAUCUGUGAGGACAGGUUAUGCCAAGCUCAACAAGGGGCUCGCUGUAAGACUUCUCUGCUCCUGUAACAGGCUUGUCUGUGCUGGAGACAGGCAACGUUGCCCUGCUCUCUUGGGAGAAUUCCAGAAACUGAAGCCAGGUCACAAAAACCCAGAGACCCAACCAAACCCCAUCUGAUCCCCCACCCCCACCCCCUACAGAGGAAGUUCUGUGGGGCCAUGCACACACCACACCGCCAGGCGUGAUACCAAUUAGCCAUAUCCUAGAGGACAUGUGUCAGCCUGGCUCUGGCUGUGACCUUGGCAAGUGGCUGGAAUGCAUAAUGUGGGUGGUAUUCUGCAGACUGUGAUGUACUCUACAGCAGCCUUGAGGCCCAGGGCAGCGGGUAACAAAGGCCAGGACAGAGUUGUGCCCUGGGAAGCCAGCCCAUUUCCCUGUGAGCAGGCUGGGCCUUCUCCAAAGGGAGGCAGCAGCAAGAGCCACUGAGAAGGCCUUGGUGCAGAGAGAGACCUGGUGACAGCAUAUGCCCAUGCCCUGAAAGAGCUUGAGGAGGUACAGGUCUGGGACCUGUCGAUAUACAAAUGACAUCCCCACAUCAACUUUGUGGGUCCCUGAUUCGACUCCAAGGAUCACCUGCUGUCACUGCAAUCCCCAAGAUGAGAAGAGGUCCUCCCUGCCGGGAGUAGACAGGACAAAAGAAGCCCUCAGAGGGAUGAUGUUAAGUUACACCAAGCACACCAGCACAGCUGUGCCUCUGAGAGAUGGCUGACAGGACAGGAUCUGUGAGCCAGUGUUUCCUGAGCUAAGAAAACAGAGGGAAAGCUGUGUCAAUCCAUAGCAUUCCAUGGCCGGGCAUGUAGGGGCUUUAUCUUAACAGACCAGUGCUGACUCUCUCCCAACAUACCUGAGCAGUAGCCAGGUGUAGGAAGAACUGAUGGGUAAGGUGGACACAGUGGCCACCACCAGGAAAGAGGGCCCAGUGCAGGAUUGUGGCAGGAGCUAAGGGGAAAUGGAUGGGGUGGCGGGGGGGGGGGGGGGGGCGGGUGGAGUGGACAGGGAGGAAGCUGAGGUGGGGGCUUCCUAUUGAGAAACCAGCAGCAGGCUACCUCCAAACCAGGCCUGACUACAUGAGGCCCAGCCAGGCAGGGUAAAUGUCAGGCACAGGGAGCAGCCUGUGGAGCAAACAGUACUCAGGCAGCCAAGACAGGCCUAGAAUAAGGGAGAGGAACAGCAAGGCCAGGAACGUACAGGGGGAUAGUGCGGAGGGCAGCACAGGCAGGACUUAUUCCCAUCAAGGGGACAGGACAGGAUGCUAGCCAUCAGCUUUUUCCAAUGUCAGGAAUGAAGAAACUGGGCUGGAGUCCCAGCUUGCCAUUUGAAUAUGAAUCCAGGGAGCAGUUCAGCACUGUCCAGUGGCCCCCUAAAUCCUGGCAGGAUGCCUUCCUCCUGUGUUCUCCCCCAGCAUCCUGACCCAGCACAGCAGACUGAACCAGGAGGUAGCAUCAGCCUCAUAGCACUUGCUGCAGCCAGGGGUUCCUAUGGCAACCCCCCACCCCCUCCUGCAGGGGCAGGAGGAUUUUGGAAAGCCAACACCCAGCAAGGACCAGGUCACUGCACUUGCUGGGGUGCAAAGGGGGUUGUUCCAAGCUUUUUGGUUCUGACCCAGAGAACUCCCAUUCCCUCUGGGGACACUGAAGACCUCCUGAGAGGAAACCCCAGCCCCUCUGUCAAGUUCACACUUCUACCUCCUCCUCUACGCUUCGGCUUUAAGGAGCUUCCCUGGGAAUGGACGUGGGAAGCAGGCCCCUGAUGGCCAACAUUCUCCAUACUGUGCUUCCUGGUGGAGGGCAGGGCCUGCCAUCUGGGUUCCCUGGGACCUUGGAUGUCCUAAGAAGGUGGGGACUCAGGGAAUUCUGUGGCUGGCUGGGCAGAUAUGGGAUGAUCCAUUAGCAAGGAUAGAGAGGGGGAAGGCAGCACGGAGUCCCCUGGGGUGGGUGGAUAAGUCACAUCAUCUGGAAACAGCUGGUGUGGACAGUGGCACACAUGGGUGGUGGCAAUGCCUGUGCCAAGUGCACCUUCAUGGUUGAGCUCCAGUCUCCACGCUCCCUCUACUGGCCAGGGCUUUCUGCCCCAACCCCAGCCCAGCAGCUCCGAAGGUCCCAGGUCCUAGGCACCUGUAGUCAUCAGCCCAGUCCUGUGGCAUGUGUGCACUCUUCCUUGGGUCCCCUCUCCUCCAGUGGCCUCUACGGUCUUCAGGCCAGUGGCUGCUUUCCUCUACCCACAUCCCUGUGAAAGAAACAGCUGGACUCACUUGGGUCUGACCUCACUAAGCUCUGACUUGGGAGACCUGGUUAAGCCCUGUCACUGUCCUUUUGCACACAGAGACCUGAGCUUGCUCGGGCCGCUAACACUCAUCCGGGAAAGGGGGGUGGAGGUGGGGGCUGCUAGACAGACAAUGGACCCUUGGGAAAAGAAAACAGGCUCUUCCAGAAUAACCCAAGAGGAGUGGGGGUGAGGGCAAAACAGCAAGCAGUUAUGCAAGCUGGGGCAAGUCUUGCCUGGAGGUGGUGGCAAGUGGUCUCAUACAUGGG